AGUGAACGCUGGCGGUAGGCCUAACACAUGCCAGUCGAACGGCAGCACAGUAAGAGCUUGCUCUUACGGGUGGCGAGUGGCGGACGGGUGAGGAAUACAUCGGAAUCUUCUUUUUCGUGGGGGAUAACGUAGGGAAACUUACGCUAAUACCGCAUACGACCUACGGGUGAAAGCAGGGGAUCUUCGGACCUUUCGCGAUUGAAUGAGCCGAUGUCGGAUUAGCUAGUUGGCGGGGUAAAGGCCCACCAAGGCGACGAUCCGUAGCUGAUCUGAGAGGAUGAUCAGCCACACUGGAACUGGGACACGGUCCAGACUCCUACGGGAGGCAGCAGUGGGGAAUAUUGGACAAUGGGCGCAAGCCUGAUCCAGCCAUACCGCGUGGGUGAAGAAGGCCUUCGGGUUGUAAAGCCCUUUUGUUGGGAAGGAAAAGCAGCAGGUUAAUACCCCGCUGUUCUGACGGUACCCAAAGAAUAAGCACCGGCUAACUUCGUG
rnacentral:rRNA from 1 species